AUUGAACGCUGGCGGCAUGCUUUACACAUGCAAGUCGAACGGUAACAGGCCUUCGGGUGCUGACGAGUGGCGAACGGGUGAGUAAUGCAUCGGAACGUGCCCAAUCGUGGGGGAUAACGUAGCGAAAGUUACGCUAAUACCGCAUAAGCCCUGAGGGGGAAAGUGGGGGACCGCAAGGCCUCACGCGAAUGGAGCAGCCGAUGUCAGAUUAGCUAGUUGGUGGGGUAAAGGCCCACCAAGGCGACGAUCUGUAGCGGGUCUGAGAGGAUGAUCCGCCACACUGGGACUGAGACACGGCCCAGACUCCUACGGGAGGCAGCAGUGGGGAAUUUUGGACAAUGGGGGCAACCCUGAUCCAGCCAUGCCGCGUGAGUGAAGAAGGCCUCGG
rnacentral:rRNA from 1 species